rnacentral:miRNA from 1 species
UGAUUCGGUGGGUGGUGGUGC